CUCUGGGUGGCAUCUGCUCCACCUGGCGGUGCCAGGCCCACCGCUCCCCGGGCCUCAGUUUCCCCGUGUGAACUCGGGCGGGGGAGGGAAGGAGGGGCGCCCCGGCCGCAGGCUAUCCACGAGUCUGCCUUAAAAGGCAAACGGCGGCGGGUCGCGCAGCCAAACUUAGUCAUCCGGCCCGCGGGCCGCCGGCGCGCUGCGCGGCUUCCUCCCCGAACUUCCCGUUUUCCGAGGGGCCCGGGGAGGGGUCCGAGGGGCGGCUGGGCAUUUCGAAACAUCCGGCGGCGCCCUCGGGGCCUGGGCCGCGGCCCGUGGCGCGGUCUCCAGAGCUGGCGGCCGAGCCCGGCCUCCCCGACGGUGGCCGCCUCAGGGCGCCGCGAGGGAGGGGAGGCCGAGGCCGCGGCCGGACAAAUAUCGGCGAGGGCGGCGGGGGGAAAGCGCGGUGCAGCCCUGCAGUCCGUAACGUGCCAGGACACUCGGGUGAAACCACCCCAACACCCGUGGGCAGGAAGCGGGCAGGAGAAAGGGAUGCGGGAUGGAACAGUGGCCGCGGGGAGUGACCAGCCUGCAGGCACCGGGCAGUGGACGGGUUCAGGACACGACACGCAACCCCACGCUGCCUGGGUCGGGGUCCCUUCGCAGAGCUAAGAGAAGAGGGGAAAAAGCACAAGGGCUGGUCAUCGGACAUGGUGGUCAACCUCUCUGACCCUCAGUUUCUUCUUCUGUACAAUGGGGCAAUCUAAUCCCUUUGGGAUGAGGAACCUGAGGUCUCAAGGGCACACCCGCGCACGACUGCCUAAGCACACGACUGAGCUGUGGAACUGGGCGCCCUGAGCCUGGACAUCAGGAGAAAGCAGAGAGUGCUGAGAGCCGGGGCUUGCAGCCACCCUGCUGGCAGAGGCAGCCCUCCAGUGUCCGAGGAGCCCAGCCUUCCAGCUGAAGACCCUGUACACCCUCAUUCAAAGGGACCUUCUUGCAGGCUCCACCCCCACCGACCCUUGUGGCCUUCAGCCCCUGAUGUAGGGUCAGGUUCCCCAUGCCCCAGGGGCUCACAGGUCAAGGUUGACCCUAGAGGAAACAGCUUAUUCUCCAACAGACAAAUGUUGCUAAUUUCUUUUUUUCUUUUUUUUAAUUUUGGUAUCAUUAAUCUACAAUUACAUGAGCAACAUUAUGGUUACUAGACUCCCAUUAUCAAGUCCCCACCAAAUACCCCAUUACAGUCACUG